rnacentral:lncRNA from 1 species
GUUAUUAGACUGUUGAAAAAGAAACAGCUAAGACUGAAUUUGAAGCUCGGCUUAAGCUUGACACAAAGCCAAUGGAAUUUGCAAUGGUGAAUCCAAAUAAGAAAACUAAAAUUGGGCACCCUGUUGGCUAUCGCCUGCUUCCAGGAUUAGUCGUAGGUCCGCUGCUAACGGAUGAUGAUUAUCCACAAAUCCGAGCCGGCUUCACUGAUUAUAAUAUUUGGGUUACCCCAUAUAACAAGUCAGAAAAAUAUUCAGGAGGAAACUAUGUUGAUCAAAGCCAUGGUGAUGAUACCUUAUUGCAAUGGACUGACGGGUAUAAUCCCAAUCUCAAACUUUUUGUAAGAUGUAAUGUUUUAAUUAGCUAGGCUAAUUCUGCAUAGCAUAACAUACAAACCAUUUGAAUGUGCAGGAAUAGGGAGAUUGAGAACAAGGAUAUAGUACUUUGGUACACUAUGGGCAUUCAUCAUGCUCCUUGCCAGGAAGAUUUUCCGGUGAUGCCAACAGUGAGUGGUGGAUUCGAGCUCCGACCAACUAAUUUCUUUGAAUAUAAUCCAGUGCUUAAAGUGAUUCCUCCGAAGCACGUACAAUGGCCUAAUUGCACCGGCAAACACCAGCCAGUUUCUACUUUAAAUAUUUGGUGGUAAAUUUAUUUGAUGCCAUUUAAAACAAGUGUGUGUGAUACCUGAACUACCAACAAUGGUCAAGGCAUCUGUUGUUUAUUUCUACUUCAAAAACACAUUUUAUAUUCAUGCCCCUCAGUUUCUGUCUGAAUUUUUCUUCUUGUUUGUAUCAAGUUUUUGAUCAAGGCCUUUGUUAUUUGGCUUGAUUUUACUGCUGCGUUUUAAAUAGAAUAAACUCAAGACUCUUGCUCUUUACAGACAAACAGUCAAUACUAUCCUGAUUGUUAUAAGUUGUUUUGAGCAUUCAGAGUACCAGUGUUCCUUAUUUAUCAAAUGCCCUAAAUUUUGAAGUGGAUGCCCGCUAGCUUAACUUAUGCCCACUAUCUUAAUUUAUAGUUAAAAAUCAAAAUUAAGAAUUAAUUAUUAUCUCAAGUUUAUAUUUUAACUCGGGGAUUUUGUCGACCAAACGUGGGAUAUUUCCCUAUCAGAAUGCACGGUAAAUCCCACCAUUCCCAUUACCACUCAAAAUCACUCAAUACUGAAGGGUUCCUGGCCACCAACUCAAGAUUUCUAGGGAUCAUACAACUUAAAAACCCACUCUGAAAGAGAAAGAUCGUCCGUCCUUAUCUUCAACUUGAAGAAUAUUGAUAUAUUAUUACAAUAUUAUGCAUGAGCCAUUAUCAACUUUUGGACGCUUUUGUCCUAAUUACACACACGCACACACACACAGAGGGACGGUUUGAGCCCCCACUGGCCAAAAAAAAAUAUUUAAAAAUAAAAGAGAAAAAUAUUUUAAUUUUCUAAUUAAUUCCCAUUAAAUUUAUUGAAAUAGUCACUUAAAUAUAAACCCUCAUAAAAUUUAAACUUUGACUUUUAAGAAAUAUAAAAACAUGUAUUUUAAUUAAAAAUAAUGAUAGCCCACCACCCAAAAUAUUUUCUAUUCUAAAAAAUAUGGUUAAUUCUUCCAGUUUAUAUAAUAAUAGUAGAACGAACGUUUUCAAUAAUAAAACUCAUGAAGAAUCAUCUUUGGAAUCAGAUGGGAUAAGUGAUAGUUUGGUUGUUUAUAUAGGAAACAAUAAAUUUAAUAAUAUUGAUAAUGAGUCUAUUGCAUAACAUUUUUAAAAUAUAAAAAUGCGUAGAGACUAAUUAUAAAUGUAUUAGCAAAUAUUCUAUAUAUUCAAAAUUUUAGUUUUUUAUAUUUAUUAUUAUCUAAUUUAGCCCCCGCUAAAUUAUUUUGCUAGAUCCGCCAUUGCGCGCGCGCGUGAGCGCGCACACACACACACACACACACACAUAUAUAUAUAUAUAUAUAUAUAUAAUUUUCAAAUUCUAAGGAAAAGACAAGUACAAAUAUAUUCAUAUAAUUUUCAAAAACAGUGGGAAAGUACAAAAUAUGAUUCAAAUUUAAAUUCAAUCGGACAAGGGGCACCUGGUGGUCCUGUGUGGCUGUGCAUGAGUCCCCCUUCCCACCUCCCACUCCGGUGGUCCUCUGUGUGGCUCCAGCACUGCGAAUGAGUUCCUUUGAUAAGUCACUUCCAAAAUCAAUAUCAUACCACAAAUCAAAACGUUCAUCAAAUGGAGAAAAAUCUUAGCGGCAUAUAUUGACUUUGUUAAAGAGAUUUGCAUCAUUGGACAAGAAUUUUCUCCUACCGUUUUUUCUCACCUAAUAUCUCAUAUUAAAGUAAGAGAUAAGAUUGAAUUUUAAAUUUUGAUUUUGACAAUCAAGUCAAUUUUUUUUCAUUUUAUUUACAAUUAAUUAAGCUUAUUUUUUUUUCUCUAGAUUUAAUGGUGCAUUUACUUCAUGGAAUGAGAAUUGUGUGGAAUGAGAAUAAGCUGGGAAUAUGAAUGGACAUGAAUAUGAAUAAGGAAUGGGAGUAAGAUUCCACUGUUUCCUUAGCAAAAAUAAAUGGGAACGGGAAUGUGAUUGAUGUGUUUACUUGGUAAAAUAAAUGAGAAUGAGGAAUGAGAAUGAGGAAUGAGAAUGAGGAAUGAGAAUGAGAAUGAGAAUCAAUUUAUCAAAAUAUCCAUAAUAUUAAAUAAUGUAAUUUUUAUUAACUAAAUACAUAUAUAAAUAUUAUUAUAAAAAUUAUAUUAAUUAAAAAAAUAAAAUUAAUAAUAAUAAAUGUUAAUAAUGAUAAUAUUAAUAAAAAUAAAAAUAACGAUAAUUAAGAAUAACUAAAAUAAGAAAGUCAAUAAUAAUAAUAAUAAUAAUAAUAAUAUAUUUGAACAAGGGUAAUUUGAAAAAUAUGAAAAAAUUAGAGGGAUACAAAUGUAAAUUUGUGUUCUUUCUCAUUCCUUCAUUCUCAUUCCUAACACUCCAUGGGAAUUAUAUAUAUAGAUAUUGUGUGUGUGUGUGUGUGUGUGUGUGUGUGUGUGUGUGUGAUUUCAGUAAAUUAACAUUUAGAGGCAUAUAAAAAAUUAUUACUAUAUUAUAAAGUAUUUAAAUUAUUAAAAAAACCCAAAAGUUUGAAACAAUAUCUCUAAACCCUAAACCCACAAACUAUUAUACAAUACAAAAAUUCUCAAAUUUAAGUAUACAAUACAAAAAUUCAUUAAAAAAAACCCACAAAUUAUUAUCUAAAAAUAACAAUUAUAUUUCAUAUUAUCAUUCAACACAAGCUCCAAUAUAAGAAUUUCAUUUCAUUCGCCAUCGUUGGCACCAAUCCAACAUGAUGUCUACGAUAAUGAUUACAAUUAAUAUUUUCUAAAGAAUAAUACUUUUUAAAUAUUAAUUCGAAAAAAAUUAUAAUAAUGAAAUAAUCCAUGCAUUAAGUUAAUUAAAGAAAAAUAGACCAUAAAAAACACUUUGGUUAUUUGUCACUUUGCAUAAUUGUAUUAUUUUCUUUAUAUAUUUUUUAAAUUUAAAUAUUUUUUAAUUAAAAUUAAAUUUUGUGGCAUCAGAUACUUGGUCAUAUCUCCAUAGAAAGAAUCAAAAGAUCAGAAAAUAUUUAAAAAAAUUGCGAGUCUAGCGUAUCCGCUGAAUAUUAAGUUAAUACCAAAUCCACCCGCAUCCAAGUGCGGGUUUCACUUGAGUAUGUUUUGUUGAAUUUGAGGUUAUUAUUGUAAAUUUAUAUAUUGAAUAUUUGUGAUUUUAAAUGUACAAAUCCGUAAAAAAUCCACCGAAUACCAUUACGGGUUUGGUAAUUGUCAAAACCCGCAACAUGUGAGUUUUCUUAAAAAAAUUAAAACCCGCUACGGGUUGCAGGUGGGUUUGAUAAUUUAAAUUUUGUGCGGGUUUGGGUUUAGUAAUGACAAACCCGCUGCGAACGGUGCCCAUUACCAUCCCUACCAACCCCUUACCUUAAUUUAAAAAAAACAAUUAGUUCAUAUUUUAUCCAUUGAAUUAAUCCACGUGAGAGAUGAGAUUCUCAUAAGCUACAAGUGGUUGCUUAUUAAAGGAGCAUGCUAGCUUAAGCACUCUUCACAAAACAAUCACAAUUAAUGGAUUCAUCAAAAUUGAUGGCGUUGCUUUUCUUACUCUUCUCUGUUACUGCUGUCCUACCAAUCUCGAGUUCUAAGCGGCACCCAUUAGACUCACUAAGACCUUCUGAGUUCACCCGCGUUCAAACCAUUGUCAAAACCUCAUACCCUAGCAACAACCUAAGCUUCCACUACGUAGGCAUGGACGAGCCAGACAAAGCUGUUGUGUAUUCAUGGUUAUCAAAUUCUAAAACCAAAUUCCCUCGCAGAGCCAUUGUGAUUGCCCGACACAACCACCAAACUCACGAGAUCAUCGUAGACUUGUCGAAACGUUCGAUAGUUUCUGAUAAAGUUUACACGGGACACGGCUUCCCUUUACUCACCUUAGAAGAGCAACACGCUGGAGCUGCCCUGGUGCUGGCAUAUGAGCCGUUUAAAGCAUCAGUGAAGAAGAGGGGACUCAAUAUAUCUGAUGUUGUGUGUUCUGCUUCGACGGUUGGUUGGUAUGGCGAAAAGAAGAGCAAGAGAGUGCUCAAGUUCCCGUGUUUUUACACGGAUCAAGGGACUAUCAAUAUGUUUUUGAGGCCAAUCGAAGGGAUAACGAUUGUUGUUGAUAUAGAGGAGAUGAAAGUAACUGAGUACAACGACAGGGAGGUAGCUCCGAUACCAAAACCCGAGCCCACCGAAUACAGACUGUCGAAGCUGAAGCCACCUUUUGGUCCAAGGCUUAAUAGCGUCGCCACCUCGUCAACGAGACCUGGGUUCAAGAUUAAUGGCAACACUGUCAAGUAAGUCUAGUCGACUAAUUACCCUUUUGUUUAUUGUAUAAAUAUCCUAAUUAAAGGUAAUGCCAUACUUAAAUACUGGCAUACAGAGGGCUUUUAAAUUGGAAAAACUUAUCUUGGGUGCUUCAAAAACAUUGCACACUUGACCAACAAAGUGUUGGCUCCACUGGCAAUGGAGUCUCCUUAAGUGGCUUGACUGGGUUUGCUCCCUAGUUUGAGUCGCAGGAAAGUCGCCUUUGUUGGGAGAAUCUGUGCCUCCCGAUUCGAGCGGUGACUUCUAAUAUAUGUUAUGAUACAGGCUUAAAGGUGCCUCCCACAGUUGAGGCACUCCCCAAAAUACCUCGUGGUUAAGACAAAAAAAAAAAACAUUGCACACUUGCUAUUAAUUUCUCAUUAUGUAUUUAUUUAAACUAAUUAUAAAGUAAUUAAUACAUAUCACAAAAAGUGCAUGAAAAAAAAAACGAGGGUCUUAGAGUGACGGGUGCUCAUAAAUAAUUGGACACAAAAACGUCAUGAUCUCCUCCCACCCACAUUUUGGACCAGAUAAUGCCCCCCUUCCCAUCCUACUAAAUAUUACGCCUAUCUCGUUUCCAAAAUAGUUCUUUUUGUGAAUGAGUUUUGACUUAUCGUAGUUCGAUUUAGUUAAAAUUUUCAAUAAAUACAAGCUAAAUCAUCUAACGACAUCAUCAUCUUGACUAUAUAUAUACAUGUUCGAUAUAUUAGAGUGUCCUAAUCUUUUAAAUUGCAUUCAUUGCAGAUAAUAGUUCAGAUUUAUGAUUCAAAGUACGAAAAAUUGUGUGAAUAGUGUUUCCACGGUUGCUGGUGCUGUUGAGUGUUUUAGUCUAGUUUAGUUUUAGGUUCGAAAAUAGCUGAAAUUGAAAAUGUAAUAUAAUUAAAAUAUCUUUCAAAAUUAAAAUAUAAAUAUAAACAGAAAAAAAAAAUUAUGACUGUCCUACUACUGUCCCAUAAAAAAUGACAGGAUAUUUUUUUAUGUUGAUCCCAUCUCGAGAAGGUCUUUAGUACAGUAGAAAUAUUAUUUUGAGCAAAACUAUGGUACCACUUCUUUUGGGUAAAAUUAUGGUACUGUAAUGGUACCAUACCGUAGCUGGAUCCAGUCAUUGGAUUCAGCCUACAGUGAUCCCCAUAAUUGAAUGCAGCUGUGGUAUGGUACCAUAACUGGACCCUAUUAUUUUUUAUUUAUUUGCUAUUUAUCACACACACAUAUAUAUAUAUAUAUAUUAAUUAGUUGAAAUAUAAAAAAUAAAAUAAAAAAACUCCAAAAGUACCUAAAAAUUUCUUCCCGUUCCACUAUCAAUAGGUCGAGCGGCCACUCACCACUAAAUUAAAUCAUAAUAAAUAUAUUUAGUAUCAGUGUGCUGACGGUUUAGUGUGGAUACAUUUUUAUCAGUCAAUCACUAUUAUCGUUGUUGUUUUUUCUACGUGUUGUUUGAAGAGUUUAAUUGCAAAGCAACAAUUGAAACAAAUUUAAUGUCUCUGCCAUUUAAUCAGAUGGGCCAACUGGGUGUUCAACGUUGGAUUUGAUGCGCGAGUGGGUACAAUAAUUUCAACGGCUUCAAUUUACGAUAUCAAUAUGCACAAAUAUCGACGAGUUCUGUACAGGGGAUUCAUAUCAGAACUAUUCAUACCAUACCAAGAUCCAAGUGAGGGAUGGUACCACAUAACAUAUUUUGAUAAUGGUGAAUUUGGGUUCGGUCUAACAGCUGUGCCUUUAGAGCGCCUCAACGAUUGCCCCGCUAACGCUGUAUUUAUGGAUGGUUAUUUUGCCAGUCAAGAUGGCACACCAGUAAAAACGCCUAAUGCCGUGUGCAUCUUUGAACGACAUGCCGGCGACGUCAUGUGGCGUCACACUGAAGCAGAAAUGCCAGGACAUGUAACUUUCCUUUUUUAUAAUUUGGCCUCUUUUUAAGCAGUUUGGUUUGUUUGAUUGAUUGAUUGAUUGAUUUAAAAAAAAUAGAUAAAUAAAAUUUUUAUUGUGCUGCAGGUAAGGGAGGUGAGGCCAGAGGUGAGCCUGGUGGUGAGAAUGGUAGCAACCGUUGGCAACUAUGACUAUAUAAUCGACUGGGAAUUCAAGCCCAGUGGCUCCAUUAAAAUGGGGGUACAUAUAAUUAUUGCAUUUGAAAUUACUCACAAAAACACGUUACGUGUGAAAACACAAGAGUUUGAUAAAGUUUAUUUGAUAGUUCGUGAUUUCGAUUGAAAGUUACAACACUCUAAUGACAAAAAUGUCAUAAAAAUAUAAUAAUUGGGAGAUUUUGUGAUGUUAAAAUGGUGAUUUUAUGCAACAGGUUGGUUUAUCUGGAGUUCUAGAAGUGAAGCCAGUAGAGUAUACUUAUGUUGAUCAGAUAAAAGAGGAUCAACAUGGGACAUUGGUGGCAGAUAAUUCUAUUGCGAUCAACCACGAUCACUUCUUGAACUAUUAUCUUGAUCUUGAUAUUGAUGGUUAUGCUAAUUCCUUUGAGAAGACCAAAUUGGUUACCAGGCGAAACACAAAUGUUAAUACACCAAGAAAGAGUUAUUGGACGGUUGAAAAAGAAACAGCAAAGACUGAAUUCGAAGCUCGGCUUAAUCUUGACACAAAGCCAAUGGAGUUUGCACUAGUAAAUCCAAGUAAGAAAACUAAAAUUGGGCACCCUGUUGGCUAUCGCCUGCUUCCAGGAUCAAUCAUAGGCCCGAUGCUAAUGGACGAUGAUUACCCACAAAUACGAGCUGGCUUUACCAACUAUAAUGUUUGGGUUACCCCAUAUAAAAAGUCAGAAAAAUAUUCAGGAGGAAACUAUGUUGAUCAAAGCCAUGGUGAUGAUACCUUAUUGCAAUGGACUGACGG